AUGGAUAGCAAGCCUUCUCCAACACCUUAUGAUCCCAGCGUGACACUCAGAAAGAACAAGAAAGAAACGAGAGAUCAAUUAAGAUACUCUCAAAUUGUCGGUUCACUCAUGUACUUAGCUAGCGCUACAAGACCAGAUAUCUUUUUUGCUGUGAGCAAACUGAGUAGGUUCAUGUCCAACCCGGGUGAUGAUCAUUGGCAUGCACUAGAAAGGGUCUUGCGCUAUCUGAGAGGUACUAUGAGUUACGGAAUUACUUAUUCAGGGCAUCCUGCUGUGCUAGAAGGAUAUAGUGAUUCAAAUUGGAUCUCCGAUGUUGAUGUACUUUACGCAACAAGUGGGUAUGUAUUUACUCAUGGUGGUGGCGCAGUGUCAUGGAGGUCUUGCAAGCAAACCAUAUUGACGAGGUCAACUAUGGAAGCAGAAUUAACUGCUUUGGCCACAGCUACUGUUGAGGCAGAAUGGCUGCGUGAGCUCUUGAUGGACUUGCCGGUUGUUGAAAAACCUGUACCGGCUAUUCUUAUGAAUUGUGAUAACCAAACGGUUAUCGCUAAAGUGAACAAUUCUGAAGAUAAUGCAAAGUCAUCAAGACACGUGAAAAGACGUUUGAAGUCUGUCAGGAAGUUGAGAAACUCCGGAGUAAUAACUAUUACGUAUAUACAAACAGACAAAAACCUGGCAGAUCCCUUUACAAAGGGACUAUCACGAAAUGUGAUAGAUAUUGCAUCGAGGGAGAUGGGUAUGAGACCCAUAGCAGUCUUGAAAGAACACACCUAUAUGAGUUCUGACUGUAAACGUCGCAGUCUAUGA
rnacentral:rRNA from 1 species